UAUUAAUUAUUUUACAGUGAGAAAGGAGCAUUGCCCGAAGCUAUCCUGGACUAUGUGGCUACCCAGCCAGAUCACAAGACCCUGGUUCAUAAGGAGAAAAGUGUGGUAAUAGUUUGUGUGCCCGCCUCAACAAUAUCAUGGGGGUGGUAGCCAUAUUUUGCACAAUGAUUAAAUGAGCAGAAGAUCACAGAGCACAGCUGUGAUACAAAGGGAGCCAACACAUCUCCCUGCUCACUUAAGACUGCUACAGCUUUCAAACCCAGUCCUGCCACAGCCCUGCUGGUCAGUAAACCACCACACCCUCUAGCUACACAAGCUGCUAUGGUCACCGCUCUAUCCAUGUAGAGGGUGGGGCAGGAAGGUGUUACACAACACUGCCACACUGCCCAAUCCCUCCCAUGUCAUAGAGCAGAGUCAACAAUGCUCCUAACAGCCUUGCUAAGUGCUGAGAACUGGAGGGCGGACAGCCCAGGGUCCCAGCAAAGGGACUCACUGUUGAUUCACUUCUCCCCAGAAGGAUGGGGAUUUGGAAGGUCUCUCUUGAACGCGAACAGGCUGAGGGCUACUGCAGAGCACUGUUAAGAGGAGGCCUCUCUGACAAAGGUAAUAAUCACCCCAAAUGAGCGGUGACUUGAAGCUAAAGGACACUGCACGAACCAUAUUCCCCAAAUAACAAAUCGUAUUCGAAAUGCUUAAUUUUUUUCCAUCUCAGUCCAUCAGACAAAGACAUUCCAUCAGGAUGGCAGACAGGCCCAUCAGAACAGUGACUGACAAUCGAGAGGUGUUGAACAGCAACUCAGAGCUAAUCCAAGAGCAAAGUCCAGGUGAUCAAGCCUAUUAGAGUGGAAUCAGCACAGAGCGGGACCUACUAUGAUAAAUAGUUAACCCAGCGAGUCCCAGGUGUAGCGUGUAGUUUUGUCUACACUGCUUUGCGUUCCCAGCUGGUCAAAUGCAUGUACCCACCCAGGAGCUAUCUCAGAUCCGCAGGUCUUCAAGAUCAACCAAGAAGACCCCCAAACUCCCAAGUAGCUCUCUGCUUCAGUCAUAGAAAAAAAAAUCAAGAGUUCUUACAAGAUUUCUGAAGUCCUCUCCAUAUGUCUCCGAUCACAGACAUUUCACAAAAUGCCCCCUACAAUGCAGAACUCCCUAUAUGAAAAGUGGUUGCUGUACCGUAAGUAGACAUGUUCCCAUAUGUUGAACAACAUUGUUCUCUGAGAUUAAAGCCUCCCUCCCCACUUAAAGGGAAGUUUAAGGCACAGAAUGUUAAGGGGGAAAUGAAGCAGUCCCUUCUGGGAAACUCAUUAAGCUCAAGAGGUAAACAACACUGUGACUUCAGGAAGUCACUGAAAUUGACCGAAUUCACUAGGCUCCUCUCUCCCAACCAUAUAUAACAGUAAGGACUGUGGAGAGACAUUCUCAGACAAGCCGAGCUGUGUAGAAGAGGCUCAGACCAACUGAGCCACUAGACAAGAACACUUUCCAACCUGUUGAGCUGCCUACAGGCUGUUUAGUCUGCUUCAGGUUUCCAGCUCUCAUGAGUUUCCACUCAUGCUGGGACGGGGUGGGCUUUGGUGAUGCAGCUGUC
rnacentral:sRNA from 1 species